AGCGGCGGAUGGGUGAGUAACACGUGGGGAACCUGCCCCUAAGUCUGGGAUACCAUUUGGAAACAGGUGCUAAUACCGGAUAAUAAAGCAGAUCGCAUGAUCAGCUUUUGAAAGGCGGCGUAAGCUGUCGCUAAGGGAUGGCCCCGCGGUGCAUUAGCUAGUUGGUAAGGUAACGGCUUACCAAGGCGACGAUGCAUAGCCGAGUUGAGAGACUGAUCGGCCACAUUGGGACUGAGACACGGCCCAAACUCCUACGGGAGGCAGCAGUAGGGAAUCUUCCACAAUGGACGCAAGUCUGAUGGAGCAACGCCGCGUGAGUGAAGAAGGUUUUCGGAUCGUAAAGCUCUGUUGUUGGUGAAGAAGGAUAGAGGUAGUAACUAGCCUUUAUUUGACGGUAAUCAACCAGAAAGUCACGGCUAACUACGUGCCAGCAGCCGCGGUAAUACGUAGGUGGCAAGCGUUGUCCGGAUUUAUUGGGCGUAAAGCGAGCGCAGGCGGAAAAAUAAGUCUAAUGUGAAAGCCCUCGGCUUAACCGAGGAACUGCAUCGGAAACUGUUUUUCUUGAGUGCAGAAGAGGAGAGUGGAACUCCAUGUGUAGCGGUGGAAUGCGUAGAUAUAUGGAAGAACACCAGUGGCGAAGGCGGCUCUCUGGUCUGCAACUGACGCUGAGGCUCGAAAGCAUGGGUAGCGAACAGGAUUAGAUACCCUGGUAGUCCAUGCCGUAAACGAUGAGUGCUAAGUGU
rnacentral:rRNA from 1 species